AUAUCAGUCAUGCAUAGCAUAUCAAUAAGCGGAGGAAAAGAAACUAACAAGGAUUCCCUUAGUAACGGCGAGUGAAGCGGGAAGAGCUCAAAUUUGAAAUCCUCAAGGUUUUACCUUGACGAAUUGUAGUUUAAAGAAGUGUUUUCUGUUGAAGUUUUGGUAAAAGUUCUUUGGAAUAGGACAUCAUAGAGGGUGAGAAUCCCGUAUUUGACCAUUACUUUCAGCUUUGUGAUACACUUUCAAAGAGUCGGAUUGUUUGGGAAUGCAGUCCAAAAUGGGUGGUAAAUUUCAUCUAAAGCUAAAUAUUGGCGAGAGACCGAUAGCGAACAAGUACCGUGAGGGAAAGAUGAAAAGAACUUUGAAAAGAGAGUUAAACAGUACGUGAAAUUGUCAAAAGGGAAGCGUUUGACACCAGUGUUGUUUUCUCGAAAAUCAAUUAAAAAGAGUUGGAUUUUGUGUUGUAUUGACUUUAUCAGGCUUUCUUCACUCUUUUCCAGCUUUUUUUAAUGCACUUUUCGUUUAACAAGUCAACAUCAGUUUCUUUUGUUGUAAAAAGGUCAUUGGAAGGUGGCUUUCUCUUCGGAGAAAGUGUUUAUAGCCUUUGACUCAUGCAAUCGGAGAGACUGAGGUCUGCAGCGUAGAUCCUUCGGGGUUAGAUACAUUUGUGCUAAGUUACUAGCUUUUCAUAGACAACUUGUUGACUAUGUUUAGUCUUGUAGCUUACUCGCUUAUGCUAUUUUACCUACGCUUAGGAUGUUGAACUCUAUCACACACAG
rnacentral:rRNA from 1 species